rnacentral:tRNA from 1 species
GCCGAAAUAGCUCAAUUGGUAGAGCAAUUGAUUUGUAAUCAAUAGGUUACGGGUUCAAGUCCUGUUUUCGGCACCA